UACGUAGGGUGCAAGCGUUAAUCGGAAUUACUGGGCGUAAAGCGUGCGCAGGCGGUUAUGUAAGACAGUUGUGAAAUCCCCGGGCUCAACCUGGGAACUGCAUUUGUGACUGUAGAGCUGGAGUGCGGCAGAGGGGGAUGGAAUUCCGCGUGUAGCAGUGAAAUGCGUAGAUAUGCGGAGGAACACCGAUGGCGAAGGCAAUCCCCUGGGCCUGCACUGACGCUCAUGCACGAAAGCGUGGGGAGCAAACAGG
rnacentral:rRNA from 1 species